UAUAGAGGUCUCAAGCGUUGUUCGGAUUCAUUGGGCGUAAAGGGUGCGUAGGCGGCGCGGUAAGUCGGGUGUGAAAUCUCGGAGCUUAACUCCGAAACUGCAUUCGAUACUGCCGUGCUUGAGGACUGGAGAGGAGACUGGAAUUUACGGUGUAGCGGUGAAAUGCGUAGAUAUCGUAAGGAAGACCAGUGGCGAAGGCGGGUCUCUGGACAGUUCCUGACGCUGAUGCACGAAGGCCAGGGGAGCAAACAGG
rnacentral:rRNA from 1 species